UACGAGGGGUGCAAGCGUUGCUCGGAAUUAUUGGGGCGUAAAGGGCAGGUAGGUGGUCUUAUUUGUCUUGUGUGAAAGCCUUGGGCUUAACCCAAGAAGUGCGCAAGAAACGGUAAGACUAGAGUCCCAGAGAGGCUUGUGGAAUUCCCGGUGUAGCGGUGAAAUGCGUAGAGAUCGGGAGGAACACCAGUGGCGAAGGCGACUACCUGGCCUGUUUCUUGACGCUGAGGCGCGAAAGCUAGGGGAGCAAACGGG
rnacentral:rRNA from 1 species